UAUUCAGGGAAUUGACAGCAUGCUGCUUUA
rnacentral:piRNA from 1 species